UGGGGAAUAUUGGACAAUGGGGGCAACCCUGAUCCAGCAAUGCCGCGUGUGUGAAGAAGGCCUGAGGGUUGUAAAGCACUUUCAGUGGGGAGGAGAGUUGACAGGUUAAGAGCUAGUUAACUGGACGUUACCCACAGAAGAAGCACCGGCUAACUCUGUGCCAGCAGCCGCGGUAAUACAGAGGGUGCAAGCGUUAAUCGGAAUUACUGGACGUAAAGGGUGCGUAGGUGGUUUGAUAAGUUAUCUGUGAAAUUCCUGGGCUUAACCUGGGCAGGUCAGAUAAGACUGUUGAACUCGAGUAUGGGAGAGGGUAGUGGAAUUUCCGGUGUAGCGGUGAAAUGCGUAGAGAUCGGAAGGAACACCAGUGGCGAAGGCGGCUACCUGGCCCAAUACUGACACUGAGGCACGAAAGCGUGGGGAGCAAACAG
rnacentral:rRNA from 1 species